rnacentral:rRNA from 1 species
GACGAACGCUGGCGGCGUGCCUAAUACAUGCAAGUCGAACGCAGUGGGGACGGGUGAGUAACACGUGGGUAACCUCCCAUCAGAGGGGAUAACACUUGGAAAAAGGGGCUAAACCGCUACUGAUGGAUGGACUCGCGGGGGAUUAGCUAGUUGGUGGGGUAACGGCUCACCAAGGCCACGAUGCAUAGCCGACCUGAGAGGGUGAUCGGCCACACUGGGGCUGAGACACGGCCCAGACUCCUACGGGAGGCAGCAGUGGGGAAUCUUCGGCAAUGGGCGAAAGUCUGACCGAGCAACGCCGCGUGAGUGAAUAAGGUUUUCGGGUCGUAAAGCACUGUUGUUAGAGAGGCGGUAUCUAACCAGAAAGCCACGGCUAACUACGUGCCAGCAGCCGCGGUAAUAC